GAGAUUCUAGCAUUAGCUUAUUAGGGAUGAGAAUUUUUUUUAAAUAAGAUUGAGAUGUGAGUAUUUUAGAAGUUGAUGAUAGAACUAGUGGGUGAAUCUUUAAUAGAAUGAGUUUUUGAUAGAAAUGCUGAUUAAAUUGAGGAGAUGAUGUAGUUUAUGUUUCCGAUAAAGGAAGCUUAAUUAUUUUUUGAGACGAUUUAUAGUGUUAAGUUAAGAGGAUACCUGGCUAGAUAUAGAGCCGAGGUGAGUGAGUGAGACUUACUAUAGAGAUGAGUCGAAUUCAUGAGACAAUUAAAUUGUCGUUAGAUUUUG
rnacentral:lncRNA from 1 species